rnacentral:rRNA from 1 species
UUGACUCACGCGGGAAUCUUACCGGGUCCGGACACACUGAGGAUUGACAGAUAUAUAUACACCGUCGGUACUUGUAUCGCGGUGUUGAAAGAUGCUAGUUCUUUCAUGAUUAUGUGAUAGGUGGUGCAUGGCCGUUCUUAGUUCGUGGAGUGAUCUGUCUGCUUAAUUGCGUAUCAUAAAAAGAGACCUAGUAUACGCGUAAGAUAUCGUUUACGGUUCGUGACCCCCUUCGGGCGUGUGUCGCACGUACGUAUCAUACGCACUGGUCUCCGAUAGCAACGAACGUGACCGUACUCUAUUGUUGCAGCGAAUGUAUGCAUCUUCGGGUGUAUCUACCGCUGCUUAGCAUAUUUCAUGCCUCGUGCGUGUGUAUGCAUUAAACUAUAGAGACCGCUGUAUUUUUUUUAAACCAGAGGAAGGAUACGGCAAUAACAGGUCUGUGAUGCCCUCAGAUGUUCCGGGCUGCACACGUGCUACAAUGAUCAUUGCACUGUGCAUCUAACCCAAUGUGCGUGGACGCCACGGUAUGUAUUUAUGCUUCGGCGUAGUAUAUAUCAGUUGGUCGGCCGCGCCGAACCUACUUCGAAAGUAAAAUUUCUCAGUGGGUAAUCCAUUAGAAGUAAUGACUCGCAUAGACCAUGGUACACACUUAUAUAUGUACGCGCAGGUUCUACCCGGCCGGCCUUUGUGUCGGUGCAGUGCGUAGCUUGUUGUUUCGUACGUACCACUCCGUAUUAAUUCAUACGUGGGGAUAGAUCAUUGUUUAAUUGUUGGUCUCGGUCUUAACUAGGAAUGCCUUGUACGGGUCUCCGGUUCAA